UUUUUUUAGAUUUUUCUUAAUUAUUGAUUUUUUAUUUAUUUGGGAUUUGGUACGGUUAAUUGAUUUCCAUGCGUUAAUUAAUUUAAUUAGGUUAUUAACAUCUAUGUUCAUAGCUUUACACAUGUAAAUAAUCAUAUUCAAAUUCACUAAACUUUUGAUUUAAAUUUCACUAACUUUCCAUAGUUUCAACAUUUAGUUUCAUUUCCUCCCAUUAGAAUCUAGCAUUCUGG
rnacentral:lncRNA from 1 species